UAGGGAAUCUUCGGCAAUGGGGGCAACCCUGACCGAGCAACGCCGCGUGAGUGAAGAAGGUUUUCGGAUCGUAAAGCUCUGUUGUAAGUCAAGAACGGGUGUGAGAGUGGAAAGUUCACACUGUGACGGUAGCUUACCAGAAAGGUGCGGCUAACUACGUGCCAGCAGCCGCGGUAAUACGUAGGUCCCGAGCGUUGUCCGGAUUUAUUGGGCGUAAAGCGAGCGCAGGCGGUUUGAUAAGUCUGAAGUUAAAGGCUGUGGCUCAACCAUAGUUCGCUUUGGAAACUGUCAAACUUGAGUGCAGAAGGGGAGAGUGGAAUUCCAUGUGUAGCGGUGAAAUGCGUAGAUAUAUGGAGGAACACCGGUGGCGAAAGCGGCUCUCUGGUCUGUAACUGACGCUGAGGCUCGAAAGCGUGGGGAGCGAACAGG
rnacentral:rRNA from 1 species